rnacentral:sRNA from 2 species
GUUUUAUAAAAGCCUAAUCAAUGCACAGGACCGGGGGAACCAAAGUUUUGGGGUGAAACCUUUUGGCUGAUUUUUAUUUGCCUAGAGGUAGGGGGAUCUCAACCCUAACCCGUCAGCUAACCUCGGAGGCUAGUGAGAGGGGUAUG